AGAUUCUACGGGAAUGGCAGCAACGGGAUGCUGGAGGCCGGGGCUCUUAGUACUGCACAGGAGAAAAUGGGUGUGUGAUCUCAGCUCCCAGAAGACCAGAGAUUGAACCCAGGCCACAGAGGUGAAAAUGCUGAAUCCUAACCACUAAACUACCAGGGGAUCCCCAAAUUCAAUGAACUGACCCAUUUGAUCAAUGCAACGACCAAUUAUAUUUUGUGUUAUUUAUUUUUUUGAGAAGCAUGGUCCAGAUGGACCCCAGCAGCCUGAAGAGCAGCCCACCAGAAACAUGCCUGUGGCCGGGCCCUGGAGCAGCACACCCAGCGCCCCCAAGUCUUGCAUCUGACUGGCACCACCUGCACCACCUACUCCAAUGACAGACCCCUCGAGACCAAACCUCCUGAUGGUAUAUAUAAGUUCCCAGGACCAUAGCAAUGCUGGACCC